UUCUCCUGUGGCAGAGAAACUGUAGAAGAGAAGGCUGCCCACUUGGGGCUCUUAGGCUGGAAGACUUUAAACAUGCACAUCUACCAAACUGCAACCCCCUCUUGAACCCUGCCAAGGCCAGUGUGACCUCCCUGCUUGUAGACCUCACCCACUGGUGGCUGGUCUCACUCCAGCCAGGGUGCUUCAUUUAGGUCUAAUUUUGUUCCUGUUCUGGAGAAACUGCCGGGAAGCAGUGAGCCGGGGGCAAGAAGUGGCCUGCAGCGACCCUGUGCUUGGCUUCUUUCUUCUCUCUGACGCCCCAGGUGAUGGGAACAGCGUGGAAAGGUGUAAGAUAUGGGGCAGAUUCAGAUAGUCCACAGCAGCAAACUAUUUGCCUUGUGCAGGCUCUGAGAGGAGCUCUUUGCCAGCUGCAGAUAGUUUAAAUCUCCAGAGAAUAAAUGCCAGAGCCCAGAGGGAGAGAAAGGGGGCAAUGGAAAGAAGGAUGCUGCUGCUGCCCCCUGCUGCUCCCGGUCGAUACUGUUGCAGUUUGACAAGAAGUUGGAGGCAUCCUGAAAUGAAGAUUGGACUUGCUGCAAGGAAUCCAGUGACCCUAACCAGAAGGAAGUAGCGAAAGGUCCCCGAGCUGGCACUGGAUGAAUGAGUAACUGAAGGAGAAAGCAACACAAGGAGACAGUGUAGCUGGGCAGUUUAGGCAGUGGACACCAUGGUCAGUGAUAAGAGCUGGUGAAUCUUGGUUAUCGACUGAAUAGGACUGAGAUGUACCUAGGCAAUUAGCAAAGUGCGCCUCUGGUGUUUACAUAGAGAAUUAACUAAAGAAGGAGACCAGCCCCAAACCCAAGCAGUGCUGUCUUGCAGACUGGAGUGGAACAAAGGGAAAAGGAGAGUGUCCUGGAAAGCACAGGUCGAGCAAAACUCCCUGAACCAAGGGACAUGCAGGAGAGCUCAAAGUCAGAAGAUGGCCUAGAAAUAAGUCAAGACUGAAGUUUUAUCAGGAGUCCAGAAGAAAGACUGAAGUUUUACCAGGAGUCCAGAGAUGCUAUUAGAUUUAGAUACGCACGAGGACGAAGUGAGGCACUAGCUGUGGCUGUUACUAACACUAUUGUGUGUGGAUAUUCACAAGAGUUUCAGGACCUGUAUCUGUGAGUGUGGAUGAGGGACACCAAGCAUUUGUGGACAUGCAAAUCAAGUUUGGGGAAUGGGAGGCAGAUGCACCAGACCAUGCCAGUCAGUGGCUGUGGUGGCCUUCCUGGAAUCAGCCCUUCUCAGCCUAGCCCAGAGAACAGAGUGAACUCUCUUUGUCACCUUGACACAAGUUAGAGUCGCUGAGAACAGAGCGCCUCAACUGAGAAGAUGCCUUCAUCAGAUUGGCCUGUGGACAAGUCUUUGGGCACUUUCCUGAUUAAUGACUGAUGUGGGAAGAUGCCACUCACUGUGGGUGGUGCCACUCCUGGGGGCAGGUUCUGGGCUGUGUAAGAAAGCAGGCUGAGCAAGCCAUGGGGCGCAAGCAGGUGAGCAGUGUUCCUCCAUGGUUUUACCUCAGUUCCUCCCUCUGGGUUUCUGCUUGAGUUCUGCCCUGCCCUCCCUCCAUGAUGGACCAUGAUUGGGAUAUGGAAGUGAACCUCUUCUCUCCACAAGUUGCUUUUGGUCAGUGUUUUAUCAUAACAACAAACAAUAAGCUGUGGCAGAUGUCAAUCACUUACAGAUGUUGCUAGAGGAGGGACCCAGCAUCAGAAACCCUAGGGUCGGACAAAUUCCUUACUUUGAUGCAUCCGAUGAGGUGGGCUUUUAUUUUAUUUUUUUCUUAAUGUAUUAUUUUUUGACUGGCUUAUUUAGCUUAAUGCCCUUGAAGUCCGUUCACAUUGUAUCAUGUGUCAUGAGUUCCUCCAUUUUUAAAGCUGCAUAAUAUUCCAUUGUAUGUAUUCACAGUGUUUUUGAAUGUGCUCAUUCGUUGCUGGUGGAGGUUGGAUGGCCUCUCUCCUGAAGCUGUAAUGCUUCUGUGACGACGAUAUGCAGUCUCAUUUUGAGGAAACAUUUUUAGUUCUUUUAGGUAAAUAUCCGGAGAAGAAUUACUAUAUUGUGUAUGCAAAUAUACAAAUUAACAUUUUAAUCACUUGAGAAAGGGCCAUACCAUUUUCAGUGGCGACUGCACAUUUUACGUGCCUACUCCACAUCCUCACCAGAAUUGACCUCUUUGUCACCCAAAUGGUCCAGGUGUAUUUCAUGAGGAAUCUUCACCCCUCUAGUAAUUAGUGACAUGAGCAUCUUUUGAUGGGCUUGUGGUCAUUUGUGUACACUAAGGGAAACAUCUAGUCUUUUGCUUGGCUUUUGUUGCUGUUGUUCUUAUCAGUUCUUUGGACAUUAUGGAUGAAGGUAUCUUCUCAGAUACAAGAGUUACAAAUAUUUUCUUUCAUUUUUUGCCUUGAGCUUUUAUUCACAUUUUGCUUCAGCCCUAAAGCACACUCAAAAUAUUCUUUAUAAAUUGCAAUAUAACACACAGAAGAAUAGUUUUCUGAGUUGUGCUGAGUUCAAACAUGAAGGUGUCUGAAGUCCUCUGAAGAUUUGAAAUAUUGUCUAAAUAUAUAUUAAAGAUACCUUGAAGGGCAGCAAGAGCUGUCCUUUCCAGCAGGUUAAUAUUUUUUUUCACUAGAUAGCUUUCUGCCGCUGACGUGAGCAGAAUGUGGUUGAAUUUCUUUGCAUCAUCACUGGAAAUUCCUGUGUGAGUGAGGUCUACCACCGGAGGGGCAGCCAAGCGGGGGCCCAGACAAAAAGCCCCCGAUGAGAACAAACCAUUCCAUGUGGUCUCUGGUCUUUCUCCGCAACCACCGAACUUCCCUUGAGACCUUUCUUGCUUGUGACCACCCAGGAUUUUUGCUUGUAGAGGAUUUUAAUCCAUCCAUGCUACUUUUACUUGGGUCUCAUAUAUGGAACAAACAACUCUUAAUAACUGGUAAAGCUGAAUUUAUCUAAAAGGAAUGGAAAAUAAGUCAUUCAUUUGGGAAAUUUGAAUGGUUAGGAAGUUGGGUGGGAUGGUGUUUUGUCCUUUUAAAAAUGGAAGCAUCUUUAAUAAAAGUUCAUUUACUCAUGUCAAGCUUAGACCUUCUGAGAGUCCUGCUAAGAUCAGAUGUUCCUAAAGAACAAGAUUGGGCAUUGUUUACGGUUCCCACGUCAAGGUGGGUAUACCUUACAGCUGGGCUCUUACCCCUGCUACAGACUAGACUGACUUGGCCUCAACCAGUGCUCAAGAGCCUAUAUCUCCCCCUGAGAAGGUGGCCCUAGUCAUCUUGUAAAACUAUUUCUGGCUCCAACAUUCCUUUGGAAAUGUCCACUUUUGUUCUCUGUGCUUCUGUUGCUUAGAAAUGAAAGGUAUUAUAAGUCUCUUGUGACUGGUGAAUGUACUUCUUUGAACAGAAAAGUAUAUUAAUUUAUUUACCAAUUAAAUAAAUGCAAUCUAAAAUAAAAAUAAAAUUUCCUCCCUCUCUUUAUCCUGUUAUUCCUUCCU